rnacentral:rRNA from 1 species
GACGAACGCUGGCGGCGUGCUUAACACAUGCAAGUCGAACGGAAAGGCCCUGCUUUUGUGGGGUGCUCGAGUGGCGAACGGGUGAGUAACACGUGAGUAACCUGCCCUUGACUUUGGGAUAACUUCAGGAAACUGGGGCUAAUACCGGAUAGGAGCUCCUGCUGCAUGGUGGGGGUUGGAAAGUUUCGGCGGUUGGGGAUGGACUCGCGGCUUAUCAGCUUGUUGGUGGGGUAGUGGCUUACCAAGGCUUUGACGGGUAGCCGGCCUGAGAGGGUGACCGGCCACAUUGGGACUGAGAUACGGCCCAGACUCCUACGGGAGGCAGCAGUGGGGAAUAUUGCACAGUGGGCGGAAGCCUGAUGCAGCAACGCCGCGUGCGGAAUGACGGCCUUCGGGUUGUAAACCGCUUUCGCCUGUGACGAAGCGUGAGUGACGGUAAUGGGUAAAGAAGCACCGGCUAACUACGUG